CAGUAGCCGCGGUAAUACGUAGGGUGCGAGCGUUAAUCGGAAUUACUGGGCGUAAAGCGUGCGCAGGCGGUUUCGUAAGACAGGCGUGAAAUCCCCGGGCUCGACCUGGGAACUGCAUUUGUGACUGUAGAGCUGGAGUGCGGCAGAGGGGGAUGGAAUUCCGCGUGUAGCAGUGAGAAGCGUAGAUAUGCGGAGGAACACCGAUGGCGAAGGCAAUCCCCUGGGCCUGCACUGACGCUCAUGCACGAAAGCGUGGGGAGCAAACAGGAUUAGAUACCCCAGUAGUCCCUGUCUCUUAUAC
rnacentral:rRNA from 1 species